GAAAACAUUGUCUUACAAACUUAUUUAUGCAAAAUUUAUAUAUUUAUAGCUAACCUCAAAAUGUAAGCAUCAAAAUAGGAAAGUAGAGAACAUAAGCAGCUCUCUGUUGCAAGUCCAAGCUGGUUUUCAGUCUUUAGCAUCAGCAAUACCUCCUGCUGUUAUCUGGAAGACCGCUUCAGACUCUGGAAGAUUUGGUGCAUCGAACACCUUGCAGACACGCUGUUCUCCUUUGCCCUUCCUGAACAUUAGUCUUAUGGUUGCUGCAUGAGCAAGGACAUGGCCUCCUGCUGGUUUCUUUGGAUCUGAUAUGAACACACCACCUCCUGGAUCAGCUAUAACUUGAUUGGUCAUGUAAACAGCAACAUUAAAUUCCUCAGCUAUCUUUAUCAAU
rnacentral:misc_RNA from 1 species